rnacentral:rRNA from 1 species
CGGGUGAGUAACGCGUGAGGAACCUGCCUCAAAGAGGGGGGACAACAGUUGGAAACGACUGCUAAUACCGCAUAAGCCCACGGCUCGGCAUCGAGCAGAGGGAAAAGGAGCAAUCCGCUUUGAGAUGGCCUCGCGUCCGAUUAGCUAGUUGGUGAGGUAAUGGCCCACCAAGGCAACGAUCGGUAGCCGGACUGAGAGGUUGAACGGCCACAUUGGGACUGAGACACGGCCCAG